rnacentral:rRNA from 1 species
UUCCGAAUGGGGAAACCCAGCACAAGUUAUGUUGUGUUAUCGACAAGUGAAUUCAUAGCUUGUCAGAAGGCAGACCCGGAGAACUGAAACAUCUUAGUACCCGGAGGAAGAGAAAGAAAAUUCGAUUCCCUGAGUAGCGGCGAGCGAAACGGGAAGAGCCCAAACCAAUAAGCUUGCUUAUUGGGGUUGUAGGACACUCUAUACGGAGUUACAAAGGAAUAUAUUAAACGAAUCAUCUGGAAAGUUGAAUCAAAGAAGGUAAUAAUCCUGUAGUUGAAAAUAUAUUCUCUCUUGAGUGGAUCCUGAGUACGACGGAGCACGUGAAAUUCCGUCGGAAUCUGGGAGGACCAUCUCCCAACCCUAAAUACUCCCUAGUGACCGAUAGUGAACCAGUACCGUGAGGGAAAGGUGAAAAGUACCCCGGAAGGGGAGUGAAAGAGAACUUGAAACCGUGUGCUUACAAGUAGUCAGAGCCCGUUAAUGGGUGAUGGCGUGCCUUUUGUAGAAUGAACCGGCGAGUUACGAUUGCAUGCAAGGUUAAGG